UGGGGAAUCUUGCGCAAUGGCCUAACGGCUGACGCAGCGACGCCGCGUGUGGGAUGAAGCUCUUCGGAGUGUAAACCACUGUUGCCCGGGACGAAUAGCUCGAUUAAUCGAGCCUGACGGUACCGGGUGAGGAAGCACCGGCUAACUCCGUGCCAGCAGCCGCGGUAAUACGGGGGGUGCGAGCGUUGUCCGGAAUCACUGGGCGUAAAGGGCGCGUAGGUGGUUUGUUAAGUUGGAUGUGAAAUCCCCGGG
rnacentral:rRNA from 1 species